GGGUGCGAUCAUACCAGCGUUAAUGCACCAGAUCCCAUCAGAAUUUCGCAGUUAAGCAUGCUUGGGCUAGAGUAGUACUGGCAUGGGUGACCUCUCAGGAAGUCCUAGUGUUGCACCCU
rnacentral:rRNA from 1 species